rnacentral:lncRNA from 1 species
AUUUAUUUGAGCUCUUUGUUCCGAAUCUCUAAAGUGAUGGAAGCAGAGAAGUACUAAAUAAAUGUAUAUUUUAAAUGUCUGAUAUUAUUUGUAAUUAGUUGUAACAAAUAAAAAGCAUGAAUGGAUAAAAAAAUUAGUUUAUAGCUGUAUGAAAAAUGCUAAAAAAGGAUAGAGAACUAAAGAGCAAAGUCAGCAAUAAAAAAAAGUUCAGG